rnacentral:rRNA from 1 species
UACGGAGGGUGCAAGCGUUAUCCGGAAUUACUGGGUUUAAAGGGUGCGUAGGCGGUUAUGUAAGUCAGCAAGUGAAAUUCCACAGCUUAACUGUAGGGACUGCUUUUGAUACUGCAUAACUUGAACCAAGAUGAGGUAGGCGGAAUGUGGCAUGUAGCGGUGAAAUGCAUAGACAUGCCAUAGAACACCGAUUGCGAAGGCAGCUUACUAGACUUGUGUUGACGCUGAGGCACGAAAGCGUGGGGAGCGAACAGG